UUUCGUUUAGGUUUGACAUGCGAUCUGCGAUCGCGCGUCGACAUCGGAUGGCACACUCGUGCCUUAUGUGCCACCGAAGCCCCGAAGUGCUCUGGCAUAUACCUUCACAUGUUUCCCUUCAGUAGGAAAUUGCUGCAGGCGGACCAGCGCACCGGAAUUGUACUGGCGAAGCCACAAGCAACUCAAAGAAUCUGUUUAAUUGUCGCACUUUGAACAGUCAUGCUUCUACAAAGGCCACAGCAGAAAAACAGCCUGAUGCCGAGUAUUUCUGUGCCACGAAGUAAUCAAGAGGCGAGUGCCUAAUGCGGACGAAAUCGAGCUCUUGCAUCGAAACUUAGAACGACAGAAAGCUGAGCUAGUUGAUAUGCAAUGGCAAGCCCUCCCGUGUGUUCCAAAGACAAUGCCUACGCCUAGCCACAGCAGCUCCCUCAUACAGACUCCGCAAGCCAAGAGGCCGUGGAGGCAAAUGCAGGCAGCCAGCACACCCCAAACAGCCACCUUGACUGCGGGUGUGUCACCCUAGUCACCAAGGAAACAUUUGAGGGAAAGCGACAGGCAAUGUGACAAUACUCUUUCUCUCGGAUGACUCCUAUGCCUCGCCACGCUAGCACACUUGUGCACAAAGAUGUCGCGGAGGCACAUACAGGUCAGAGGCAAGAAGCAGUGGCACUGGUGUCGACAUUCACCCAAUUUUUUUUACUUACACCGAGGCAGCCAGCACACCUCGAACAGCCACCUUGACUGCGGGUGUGUCAGUAGAUUCCUGUUGUACAUAUGCUCAUAAUAAACUUGAAGGCAAAUGGGACAAUGAUGCAUUGUUUUUUUGAACAUUUAUUGUACACAUACAAUAUAUGUUAUACUUUGCAGUGCUACAGAGCAUAUUUUGAAGCUUCCCCCUAUAUUUUGCACCUUUACUUACGUAUGUGUUGUGUGGCCCUCAAUGCAGUUCAUGUUGUAGCAGCUGCUUUGUCUGUGUAUCGCACAUUGGCUAAAGCUCAUGAUAUCCACAUACUUCUCUCACAUAUGCAAAAUAAAGUUCUAUGUAGUCCUCAGUGUCACAACAAAAAAUGAAAGUAAGCAAUCCGAUUGUGGAAUUGUGUUUAUUACAGUGAUUCCUAUGACAGUUACUGACAAGUUGACAACUUGAACUGGUCAAUCCGUCCAUAGCCUCCUCUAUUUCUCAAAAAUAAAGGAGGCUAU